CGCGACAAGGUGAGCCACACCUGCGACAGAUUGACCGUGCGCAACGAGACCUCGCGCACCCCUCGGGCCGGCAGAAU
rnacentral:tRNA from 1 species